rnacentral:ncRNA from 1 species
CGUCAAGAGCGUCAGCGCCAAGCCCCGGCUUGCUGACCGGCAACCCUCCUCCGCGGCGGGGUGCCCCGGGUGAAGACAUGGCUGUACGGCCCAUCCGGGCGGUAGUGGCAAGUGCGGGCC